rnacentral:rRNA from 1 species
AGAGUUUGAUCCUGGCUCAGGAUGAACGCUAGCUACAGGCUUAACACAUGCAAGUCGAGGGGCAUCAUUUCAGUUUGCUUGCAAACUGGAGAUGGCGACCGGCGCACGGGUGAGUAACACGUAUCCAACCUGCCGAUAACUCGGGGAUAGCCUUUCGAAAGAAAGAUUAAUAUCCGAUAGUAUAUUAAAACCGCAUGGUUUUACUAUUAAAGAAUUUCGGUUAUCGAUGGGGAUGCGUUCCAUUAGUUUGUUGGCGGGGUAACGGCCCACCAAGACUACGAUGGAUAGGGGUUCUGAGAGGAAGGUCCCCCACAUUGGAACUGAGACACGGUCCAAACUCCUACGGGAGGCAGCAGUGAGGAAUAUUGGUCAAUGGGCGAGAGCCUGAACCAGCCAAGUAGCGUGAAGGAUGACUGCCCUAUGGGUUGUAAACUUCUUUUAUAAAGGAAUAAAGUCGGGUAUGGAUACCCGUUUGCAUGUACUUUAUGAAUAAGGAUCGGCUAACUCCGUGCCAGCAGCCGCGGUAAUACGGAGGAUCCGAGCGUUAUCCGGAUUUAUUGGGUUUAAAGGGAGCGUAGAUGGAUGUUUAAGUCAGUUGUGAAAGUUUGCGGCUCAACCGUAAAAUUGCAGUUGAUACUGGAUAUCUUGAGUGCAGUUGAGGCAGGCGGAAUUCGUGGUGUAGCGGUGAAAUGCUUAGAUAUCACGAAGAACUCCGAUUGCGAAGGCAGCUUACUAACCUGUAACUGACAUUGAUGCUCGAAAGUGUGGGUAUCAAACAGGAUUAGAUACCCUGGUAGUCCACACGGUAAACGAUGAAUACUCGCUGUUUGCGAUAUACUGCAAGCGGCCAAGCGAAAGCGUUAAGUAUUCCACCUGGGGAGUACGCCGGCAACGGUGAAACUCAAAGGAAUUGACGGGGGCCCGCACAAGCGGAGGAACAUGUGGUUUAA